ensembl:lncRNA
UCAUAGUCAAAGACUUGAGGAAGCACCAUGAAUGGUAAAGUAGCAAAUGAUUUUGUUCAGAAGCAAAGCAAAGAAGCACUGGCCAGAUGCCCUGAAAGAGAGCAGAGACCAACCUGAGCUACAGUGCUCAGGAGCAGGGCUUUGGGGAGAGUGGGGUCAUGGUUCAGAGCGCUUGUUGCUCUUACAGAGGAUCCAAGUUCGAUUCCCAGCACCCACAUGGUGGCUCCGAAUCAUCUGUCAUUUCAGUCCCAGGGAUCUGACACCUUCUUCUGACCUCUCGAAAUACUAAAUACACUCUGUGACAUGCUUGAAUGAAAACAAGAAAUUAUGAAAUAUUUGCUGGAGAAGAAUGAACUUAUUGCCAUUGUUUGGAGUGGGGUGUACUGUUGUCGUGCUGUCUCAGACUCGUUCACGAACAUUUCUCUUCAAAUACACCGAGCUGCAUAUAGAUGAGAAUGGUGGUCUAAAGAGCUCAGGAGGAGAGAAAUUGCGAAAUGCUCAUCACACUUGAAUACAGAGAUAUCAAGUUUGAAAGCUGGCAAUUGAAACAAAAAUGUAAAUUCUGGUGUUGGCAAAGACUGCAGAGGCCAAGCACCAGCCAUGUCUGCAUUCAGACUAGAGGUUAGGAAUUGGAUACCUCCAAUAUAAACCAAGAACUGAUGCGAAAAUCCAAGAUGGAGGGCAAACCUCAGAGGCAGUGCCAGCCACUGUGUGGAGAUUUCAUCUUGUUCCCAGAGUCAAAGUUAUGUAAGGCUCUUCUGUGCGACCUCUAGUAAUUGGAUGAGGUACAGAAAAAUAAGUGCCUCAAGGAAUUAACGUGUGAGAGAAAUGGGAUUGUUGUUGGAACCAAAACAGAGUUGUUUGUGCCAAUCCUACAAAACAAAACCAAAACCAAAACCCCCAAACCAAAAACAAAACAAAAACUAAGUUCUGAAGAAAAGGCACAUGUUUUCCUGAUGGUGACCAACACAAAAGAACCUUCCAGAAGCAUAAGCUCACCCACAGGCAUUCAGAGUCUCUCACAGUAAAUGCUUCUGCAGGGGCCCUUGAAGCAACUGGGUUCAAUGCAGACUUGUAUUAAUCUCCAUGACAAAAGACUAUUGUUUCAAAAUAUCUGAUGUAACUCCCCUCAUUUUGGUCUUUCAAGCCUUCUCCUUUUUUCAACCUCUGUUUAUUCUCAGAGUUUAAAGCUCUACUUCUAAAGAAAUAUUAGGAUUCUUGGAAUAAUCUCUCUGUGAUAGCGCUUUGUUUAAUUUGACAACCUGGAUCGCUGUAGCUGUAUAUGUUGCGACCGUUAACCAUCGUUGUCAGUUUAACUUUGGAAUCACAGUAGAAAUGCUCUUCUGGCUCUGUCUGUGAGGCAGAAAAGUUUAAUUGAGGAGGAGAGAGCUACUCUGAAUAUGGCCAGCGUCAUCAAUGGCUGGGGUCCUAGAUUAGAUAAAAGGGAGCAGGUGAAGUGAGUACCAGCAUUGAUCUCUUUGUUUCCCGAUUGCAG